CCUACGGGUGGCUGCAGUGAGGAAUAUUGGUCAAUGGACGAGAGUCUGAACCAGCCAAGUAGCGUGAAGGAUGACUGCCCUAUGGGUUGUAAACUUCUUUUAUAAAGGAAUAAAACGAGGCACGUGUGCCUUUUUGCAUGUACUUUAUGAAUAAGGAUCGGCUAACUCCGUGCCAGCAGCCGCGGUAAUACGGAGGGUGCGAGCGUUAAGCGGAAUUAUUGGGCGUAAAGCGCUCGUAGGCGGUAUGUCAAGUCAAGGGUGAAAUCCCCGCGCUCAACGUGGGAACUGCCGUUGAAACUGGCAAACUGGAGUGUGGGAGAGGAUAGUGGAAUUCCUGGUGUAGGAGUGAAAUCCGUAGAUAUCUGGAGGAACAUCAGUGGCGAAGGCGACUAGCUGGCACAUUACUGACGCUGAGGAGCGAAAGCGUGGGUAGCAAACAGGAUUAGAUACCCCUGUAGUC
rnacentral:rRNA from 1 species